rnacentral:rRNA from 1 species
GGCGGCAUGGCUAAAACAUGCAAGUCGAACGACACAGUGGCGAAGGGGCGAGUAACGCGAUCGAACGUACCCCGAGGUGGGGGAUGGCCUUUGGAAACGAAGGGUAAUACCCCAUGUCCUCUCAGGAGAAAAGCUCCGGCGCCUUGGGAGCGGCGAUCGUCCUAUCAGGUUGUUGGUGAGGUAACGGCUCACCAAGCCGAAGACGGGUAGCGGGUGUGAGAGCAUGACCCGCCGCAUCGGAACUGAGACACUGUCCGGACUCCUACGGGAGGCUGCAGUAACGAAUCUUCCGCAAUGGACGCAAGCCUGACGGAGCAAUGCCGCGUGUGGGAUGCAGCUUCUACGAAGUGUAAACCACUGUCAGGGUCUCGCACCACCGAGCAGACCCAGAGGAAGGGCCGGCUAAUUCCGUGCCAGCAGCCGCGGUAAUACGGAAGGCCCGAGCGUUAAUCGGAAUCACUGGGCUUAAAGCGUGCGCAGGCGGACCGGCAGGCAUCCUGUGAAAGCCCACGGCUCAACCGUGGAACUGCGGGGUGAACCGCCGGUCUCGAGGCAGGUAGGGGUGAGUGGAACUAUGGGUGGAGCGGUGAAAUGCGUAGAUAUCCAUGGGAACGCCAAUGGCGAAGGCAACUCACUGGGCCUGUCCUGACGCUCAGGCACGAAAGCGUGGGGAGCGAACGGGAUUAGAUACCCCGGUUAGUCCACGCCGUAAAC